UAAAGAAAACCAUGUAUACAAGGGAUUAAAAUAACACUAGUCAAGCACAUUUCUAAACUUUCAUUACAUUACAUUCAAUACUUUACAUUACAUUUGAACCAUGUCCACAGCUAUUCUAUUACAUAAACUUCUCUUACUCUUCUGACUUCUCUAUCUACACUGUACCUGCAAGACUGGGGUUAGGGGAGAGGGGGUGAGCUAAAAAGCCCAGUGAGCAGAAAUUAAAAACAUUUACUUUAGUUCCUCCAUUUUUAGGUAUAUUAUUAUUCAUUUUAUUAUUAUUAUUUUAGUUCCUCCAUUUUUAGGUAUAUUAUUAUUCAUUUUAUUUUAUUAUUUUAUUUCUUUUUCUUAUUCAUGCUUUCAUGAAAUGCAACACAUCACAGCUAAUCACAUAAAGGAUGGUAUUGUCACCAUUAGUCCUCAACAUCUCCAAAUGCCAGGGGCGUAGAAUGGGCCUCACUGGUCUUUCUCUUACAUAACAUAACAUAACAUUCUAAAGUGCCAGGGGCGUAGAAUGGGCCUCGCUGGUCUUCCAUAACGUAUCAUCAUAACAUAACAUCAGAGGACUAUGGAUCACCCAACAACCAUCCACAUCAACAUCAAAUUAUGCAAUGCAGCAUAUUCGUGAAUUCUAAUGCAAACAUCCUGAAAUAUUGCAUGGCAUAAUGAUGCAUGGGCAAUGCUUUAUGAUUCAUUCAUUUAUUUAUUUACUUUACUUUAAAACUUAAGGAGUUGUUCCACUCACCUGGUGACUGAAGCUUGACAACGUACUCUGAACGACUAUCUCACAACCGGGGGUCUCGGUUCCUCGGGUCCGAACCUACACAGGUGGACUCAAAUGAGGCACCAAACAACUAGAACAUAACUCUAAACAUACCCCCAAAAACCUCCUAAAAACACCUCAAAACAUCCCUAGAAAUCAUGCAAGAAAAGGCUGGGAAGGGCACUUUCGGCGGCACCUUCGGCGGCCGAAAGUCCCAGACAGAGACGAAACUCAUGCAUGUUCGGCGGCACCUUCGGCGGCCGAAAGUCUCGGACAGAGCCGAAACUCCAACUUUCGGAGGCAAGCUUCGGCAGCCUAAAGCUGCCUCUCAGCCAUGUUCAGCGGCCGAAACUCCCUUCGGCUUCCGAACCUGGUUUCUGCCAAAGGGCAGAAACUUGGCUCCUCUUGCCUCCAAGUUUCCCAAACUUCCUAAUCAUGCAUAAAACUCUUCUACAACACUCAUACACAAGCAUACAAGCUCCUAGGGGCCUCAAACUAACUUAAACCCCAACUACAACACACAAGCAAGCCACAUUGUUCACAAAUCACNN
rnacentral:lncRNA from 1 species